UUGAGAGGGCGGAGGACCGCUUCUGGCCUUCGGGCCAGGGGAGGAAAGUCCGAACUUCAGAGGGCGCGGUGCCGCGUAACUGCCGUCGACAGGCUGCAGAUACACGCGGGAGUCCGAAGUAAUGAUCGGACGACGGAUAGUGCCACAGAAAACAAACCGCCGGCCUCCGGGCGACUGGAGGUCGGUAAGGGUGAAAAGGCGGGGUAAGAGCCCACCGCCCGCGGCGUAAUCCGCGGGGCACGGAAAACCCCACUGGAAGCAAGGCCAAAUAGGAGACCUCGGAGCGGCCCGCUCCGGUCCCGGCCUCAGGUCGGGCGGGUCUCGGGUAUCGGCUGCUGAGACAAAUGGUCCUCUCCCGGUUGUCGCUUCGGCGACGAUCGGCAGACAGAAUUCGGCUUACAGCCUUCUCAAAAUC
rnacentral:RNase_P_RNA from 1 species